GAUUUUGUCUUUUUACAUUUCUGUUUUUCUUGUUUUUUUAUCUUCCAAAAUCCAUUAUACCAUAUAGCAGUCAUUGUUUUUUCCACAACAGUUUUUUCCAUUGCCGUUUCCCGUCAGAUUUUGCGUGUCACGUUGCAUAAACGUCUGUGUUGUGUCACUCUGUUAUGAUUUUACGUGAAACAGAGCACCUCUCUCUCUCUCUCUCAUCCUCAUCUCUGUUUGUAAUUUGUUCCAGUUGCUCGGUUUAUUUCUUAUUGUUUUCUGGGAAAUGGUUUGAUUAAAAAUGGAUUCAUUAUUCUAUAGUUUGACAGUUUGACUCAGCAGGUUUAUGAAAGACGCUAAAAUGAAGCAAGCAGGUUGAUGCUUAUCGGGGAGACGGACAGAGCUUCCAAUUUUUGACUCAACCAGCAGCAUGUAUAGAUUCGAUCGAUGGGAUGGGAUGGGAUGGCAAGCAGAACUGGAGUGUGGAGAAACAGCAUCGGAAUCUUUAUUGAUGGAAUUGGGGAGAAAACCAUGAAAAUACAUAAUCGUGUCCCAUACGUGACAGCUGGUGCUCGUUGCCUAGCUACUACUGGUUCAUGAAGCUGCACGUAAUUAGUUUAACCUAAGAUAUUUAAACUCUAAAUAUAAAAACAAACAAAUGAAAAUAAAUAAAAGAAAAACACAGAUGACAGCUGCUGAUAGAGAUUUGAAUAGAGGCCGUCCGCAGUCCACUCACGUAGCAUUCACAAAGGGAUGAGAUGAGAUUCCCUUGGCCCUUCAUUUCAGAUGAUUCCCAAUUAACCAAUUAAUUUAUGGAAAUUUAGAAAGGAGACAAAUCUGAAAGAGAUUUGAUGGAGCAUUGUUAGGUAUCGUGUGGGUAAUAUUUAAUUAAGUAAGGGAUAAUUAAAGUGGUUUAAGGAUGAUCCCAUCCCUAUAGGCUAUACCUCUCUGCCUGCCCCCACCAUGUAUGUGAUCCUUUUUAUCUCGUCUUUGUUAAAAAAUAGAAAUGUGGGACUAAGCUAUAGAUAGAGAGAUCAUCAACUUUGAAUCAUCUUUUGACAAAGUGUUAAAUUUCGGUUUCAGAGAGGAUGGUAAUUGGCUCACUACUAGCAGCACCGAUAUUAUUUAAAAUUUAAUUACUUAUAAAGUUCAGUAUGUGUGUGGUUUUAACACAAAAGGACUCAUGAUAUUAAUAGUGAAACCAUUUAUUAUAUUUUUUAUUUUAUUUAGUCAAAUUUCCUAUAUGAGACUUAUAUAAGAAGAAUUGGAGACGGAGAAAAACAUAAUAUUAAUAUAUAUAUAUAUAAAU